rnacentral:lncRNA from 1 species
AUGAGUUUAUCUUCGGGCCAACAACAACAAAUAUAUGGUGAACCGAAAAGAAUAUUAUACAGUGACGAGUUGCUUCAUAUUAGAGGAAAAGAGGACAAAUAAAAAAUAGUUAGAAAUGGGGGAUAGGAAAAGUGAGAGAGAGCAUACAAGAUUCCACAUCAGAUGAAAGGGAAAGGCACCUAUCAAUUAUCCGAAGCUAAAAGAAAACGCAAAGAAAUCCAACGGUGGAGGAAC